AUAUGGGGCAAGGCAAGGGAAGGGCACAGGGCUGGUUGGGAUGAAUUUCUCUGCUUCUGUAUAGGUCCCUUGAAAGCAUUACAACCAUGCAUGAACAUCUGGUGAGACUUUGGAUAACAAGAGGAGGAAGGGGGGGAGAGAAGAAGAAGGAUCUGAGAAGCACUGUGUUGGGGUUCUCUUUCUACCAUUUCAGCCCCGGUCUGAAGUGAUUAUUUGCAUCUUCAUGAAUAAAUACAGCAAUACUAUCUCCCCAGAGACUUCACAUACCUUGCUAGGGAAUCUCUCUUAAGUGCGUAACUGACGAGAUAAUAUACGACACUGCAAUUAGCGAAAAAGGAAACGGAAACACUCUCAAGCAUUAUCUGCUUCUCGUUCUUUAAUAUUAAUGCUAACUGUCUGUGAAAGUUGUAUUAACAAUAAUUCACAGAGAAUUACCUGUUGAGCUAAACCAUGGGAUGAAGCUGAAUCACUUGGUAGCCAGAUUGGAGUGUAGUGCUACUUAUACUUAUCCCCCAAAGCUGCUGCUUCCUGUCCCUUUCUCUUAGUCAGCAGCAACAGACAUCAAGUCAUACAAAUUAGCUGCUACUGUACUUUUCCUAAGUGCAACACAGUCACUUUGAAAUAUAAGCUGACCAUAGGAAUCAAACAAGGGGGUCCCUGCAAAAAUAUGAUGCAUGGGAUCAUGUUGUUCUAAUAGGAGCAAGUCAGUGGUGAAAUUGAGAAGGAGCUGUUAGGUAUGUCGUACCAGCCCAAGAUCUGAAGGCAGUUAGGGAGUUAUCUCAGCAAGCUACAGUGGUGCCCCGCAAGAUGAAUGCCUCGCAAGACAAAAACUCACUAGACAAAAGGGGUUUUCGUUUUUUGAGGUGCUUCGCAAGACGAAUUUCCCUAUGGGCUUGCUUCGCAAGACGAAAACGUCUUGCAAGUUUGUUUCCUUUUUCGUAAAACCGUUAAUACCCAGGGUGCAUUGCUUGAAGAGGUGCAGUUGCGACUUGACUUCGAGGAGCAACUCAUAGCACGCGGUGUGGUAGCCUUUUUUGAGGUUUUUGAAGACUUUGGUGAUUUUUGAAGCUUUUCCAAAACUUCUUUUGCAGCCAUUUGGUAAGUUAAACUUUUAAAACUUUUUGGGGGGGGUUGGAUUUGGGGUUGGGGUGUUUGGAAUUCAAGGACUUGGUGUUGGGGAGGGGUUUGCAAGAAUCCGGAAGCUUGUGGUUUUUUUUCUGCAUUUUUAUGAUUUUCUGUGACCAUUGGGCCACUCUGCUGUUUUUUUAAAAAAAAUUCUGGAUUUGAAUUUCUGUGUGGUGGGUGGCUGAGGGAACAGUUGGGGAGGGGUUUGCAAGAAUCUGGAAGCUUGUGGUUUUUUCUGCAUUUUUAUGAUUUUCUGUGACCAUUGGGUCACUCUGCUGUUUUUUUAACAAAAAAAAUUCUGGGUUUGAAUUUCUGUGUGGUGGGUGACUGGGGGAACAGUUGGGGAGGGGUUUGCAACAGUUGGGGAGGGGUUUGCAAUUUCUGUGUGGUGGGUGGCUGGGGGAAUAGUUGAGGUUUUUGAAGACUUUGGUGAUUUUUGAAGCUUUUCCAAAACUUCUUUUGCAGCCAUUCGGUAAGUUAAACUUUUAAAACUUUUUUGGGGGGUUUUGGAUUUUGCGUUGGGGUGUUUGGAAUUCAAGGACUUGGUUCUGGGUUUGAGUUUCUGUGUGGUGGGUGGCUGGGUGCUUUUGAAUUUUUUGGAUGUGAAGCACUGAUUUUUUGAUUUUUUUGGGGGGGGGUUGUGCAGGUAGGUUUGUGCUGCCAUGGGACCCAAGAAGACUGCUGCUGCAGAGGCCAGCGAGGGGACGAAGGAGAAGGUUACGCUGGAAAUGAAGAAGGAGAUCAUCCGGAAGCACGACGGUGGAAUGCGUGUGACAUACCUCGCCAGGGAGUACGGGAGGAAUCCAUCGACCAUCGGGACCAUCCUGAAGAUGAGGGAGAAGAUCCUUGCGACUGAUGCAGCCAAGGGAGUCACCAGGAUCGUGAAGAACCGCCCAGCUGUUCUGGAGGAGGUGGAGAAGUUGCUGCUCAUCUGGUUAGAAGAGAAGCAGCGUGCAGGGGACACAGUGACUGAGGCCGUGAUUUGUGAGAAGGCCAAGGCCUUGCACGCAGACCUCGUCCGGGAACAGCCAGGAACCUCAGGCGAGCCAGAAGUCUUCAAGGCAAGCAGAGGCUGGUUUGACCGGUUCAAGACAAGAUCUGGAAUCCACAGCGUGGUCAGGCAUAGAGAGGCUGCCAGUUCUGAUGUUUCUGCGGCUGAAGACUUUGCAGCGGAGUUCCUGGAGGUUGUGAAGACGGAGGGCUACGUUCCACAGCAGGUCUUCAAUUGCGACGAGACCGGGCUGUUUUGGAAGAGGAUGCCCAAAAGGACUUUCAUCACACAGGAGGAGGCCAAGUUGCCUGGCCACAAGCCCAUGAAGGACCGUCUGACCCUGCUCUUCUGUGCCAACGCAAGCGGCAACCUGAAGAUCAAGCCCCUGCUGGUGUACCACUCGGAGAACCCACGGGCCUUCAAGAAACACAAGGUCGACAAGGAGCAGCUGAGUGUCAUGUGGCGAUCCAACAGUAAGGCUUGGGUCACACGUGUGCUAUUUGUGGACUGGGUCAAUCUUGCUUUUGGCCCUGCUGUCAAACAGUACCUGCUGGACAACGACCUGCCGCUGAAGGCUUUGCUUCUGAUGGACAAUGCUCCUGCUCAUCCUAAAGGCCUUGAGGAGGACUUGUUGGAGGAGUUCAGCUUCAUCAGCAUCAUGUUCCUGCCGCCUAACACCACGCCACUGCUCCAGCCGAUGGAUCAGCAGGUCAUCGCCAAUUUCAAAAACUCUACACCAAGGAGCUUUUCAGGCGAUGCUUCGAGGUGACUGAUUGCACCACCAUCACCCUGCGGGAAUUCUGGAAGGACCACUUCGACAUCGUCACCUGCUUGAAGAUGAUCACCACGGCCUGGAACAGGAUCAGCCAGAGAAAUUUGAAUUGCGCUUGGCGCAGCCUGUGGCCAGACUGUGUGGCACCAAGUGACUCUGAUGCACCAGAGUCAACAGUGGUGCAGGACAUUGUUGCCUUGGGGAGGACCAUGGGCCUGGAGGUCACAGAGGAGGACAUCAGCGAGCUGGUGGAGGAGCGCGACCAUGAGCUGACCACCCAGGAGCUGGUCAAACUGCAGGCAGAGGCUGCGCAGGAGCAGGCCUCGCUGGAAGAGGAGGAAGCAACUGAGGAACGGCUGUCCUCCAAAGAACUGAGGGACAUUUGCCUGAAGUGGAAGGAUGUGCAGGCUUUUGCACAGCGGCACCACCCUGACAAGCACGUGGCACAUGACCUUGCGAACACUUUUGAUACGAGGGUCAUGUCGCCUUUCAGGGAGGUGCUGAAAAGGCGGAUGAAGCAGCAGACCAUGGACACAUUCUUUAGCAAGAAGCAAAGAGUGGAAGAGGAACCUUCUUCGAGUUGUCCCCCAGAGUCUUAGAAAAUGUACUGUACACUUUGUUGAUUUUUAAAUGUUUUUCUGUCAUGUUUAGAAACUUAAUUUAUUGUUCCUUCAAUUUUUGAAAUGCUCUUUACAGUAUGUGUGACUUUAAAGAGCACUUAAUAAACUCUUGUUGUACCAAAUUUGGCUUUGUUUGGACUUUUUUUUACCAUAGGAACGCAUUAAUUGAAUUUCAAUGCAUUCCUAUGGGAUUUCGUGCUUCGCAAGACGAAAAAUUCGCUAGAUGAAAAAACUCGCGGAACGAAUUAAUUUCGUCUUGCGAGGCACCACUGUACCGGUAUAUGCUGUCAUUUGUUAGUUUUACUAAAAAAAAACACCUAGAUUGGAUUUGUUGUAAAGGGAGAUGGGGCACCCCUUUUUUAAACAAAAAUCUAAAUAUGUUCAGAUGGGCUGCAGGUACUCAACAAGAAAGGUACUCACUAUAUGAACAGAGGCUACUACUAUUGAUUAUCAACUUUUAUGUAUUUUUUUUUAAAGCAUAUCCAAAGUUGGUGGGGUAUUUGUUGUUGAGUUAAAGAUGAUGUGAUAGAGCUAAAAGAGCAAAAUAGCCUGCAGGUUCCCACCAUCAUACAGCCUGCUUAGACCACUGGAACAAAUACGGUGGUCCAGAUCUCCAACUAUUUCAAUUUCCAACUCUCCUUUAGGCCAUUUUUUACAAAACGGGUCUAUAUACCAAAGAUGGUUCCUACCUGAAGAUGGUCUCUGGCCAUAGCUGUCAACUUACAGAUUUGAAAAUAAGGGACCAGCAGCCUCGAAAAUAAGGGAUCAGCAGCCAAAAUAAGGGAUCAACAAUUACUUUGAUAAAAUACAUAUUUUGUUGUGUGCAAAUGGCUUUAGAUACCUAUUAGGUCCAUAAAUUACCAUAUAGCAUAUAUUCAACACAAAAAAAGCAACAAUUUGUUGUUGACAAAGAACAGCUGGAUAUAGAAAGGGCCCCAUUACCUUCAGUAGUGUAUUUAAGGGACAUCAUCAAUAAGGGACAGCAGCCCGGCAUGGCGUUGGGAUAAGGGACUGUCCCGCCAAAUAAGGGACGCUUGACAGCUAUGUCUCUGGUUUGUGCCCUAUAUCAUAAGCUACGCUCAAAUGAUAGUACUUAGGGCCCUGACUCCCACAUUACCUCAGCGCUGUGCCUCUCCUCCCAGGAGUGAUACUGGUUUCAGAAUCAUCUUCAUUAUAGCUACCUCCCAUGUGAAACAAGGCACCAGGGGUCUCAGGCAGCCAGGUCCAUGAGGUCAGCAUUCAAAAGCCUUCAAAAGCUUUUUUUUUUUAAAGUUCCAAGGAACUGUCUCUGGAGUGUAGUUAUCUGACAGAACACAGCACAAGAAAACAUCUGAGCUUAGAAACAAGAGAACUGUGCAGUCCAUGAACUUGACUGACUGAACUCAGGGAACUUCUCUGACCCAAAUGAGAUAAAUCUUAGGCAGAAUUCCUAAAUAUCAGAAGCGGUUAACCUGUGGCUUCUCCAGAUUUUGUUGGACUGCAGUUCCCCCCAUCUCUGGCUAUUAGUCAUGUUGGCUUGAUAGAGUAAUAGAGUCCAACAACAUCUGGAAGGCCACAGGUUAGACACCCCUACUAAAUAUAUUUUCUGGGUGAAACUCAGACUUCCAGGGAGUUUGAAGAGAGCUGUUGGAGCUGUGAUUAAUGUUCAGCACUUGGACAAAGCGUAGGAACACUUUUAAGCGUUGCGCAAUUUUUGUAACACUUCACCAAAAGCACUUCCUCCUCCCCAUCAAACACAAAAAUCAAAACUCAUGGAAAUUCAGCUCAGCUCUAAGCGCAGAAUAAAAAGUGUUUGCACUAUCCCACUGCCUCACACAAAACUGGCAAUACAGGAGGUACUUUUUUCAAUCUUUUCCUUAUUUUCAAAACGUAGUUGGAACAGUAUCAUGUCGUUACUCAGUGAAAGCCUCUGCUGGCAGCUGAAAACUGCUAAAGAACUGAGCGAUAAACGUAACUAUGCACCUCUCACAUGAAAGUGCUUUCAUUAUGAAGAACUGCUAUUCCCUUUUCAAACAUUCAAUGGGGUUGUGAAGGCACAAUUCUAUUUUUCAAUCCACAAAGUAAACUGAUGCAAUCAGUUUGUGCCACAGAUCUAAAACUGGCAUGAGACAUCCAACUUUACAUUUAUCAACUGCAAACAUAUUCAUGGUGGAAAGAACUCUGUAGAAAAAGGCACAAAUUCCCCAUGCCCAUGAAGUUGCAGCCAGGAUUGAUACUCAGCCCGUCUUAAAAAACCAAGCUUGAACUUCAAAAACAUUGGCUGAGGACCCUGGGUUAUCACUUGUAUACUUGCCAAAAAACAAACAAACAAACAAACAAAAACACCCUUUGUAUAAAGUGCAACAAAUUCUAUAUUUUUUUUCAUUAAUUUGCUCAGAAAUAUGAUUUAUGUGCAUUGCUUACUGUUUAAUUACUUUGUUUUCUAGAAGUUCCUUCCUGCUUGUUUGUAAGGAAAUAGUCAAUUAAGAAUCUAAUGAAUCCUCUCCUGUGACAGAAUUAAUUUGGGAAGCUGUGACCUCAUGUAAAGAGGCAUCAAAGCUGGUUAAUAUGUAACACAGAGACACUCCGCGCAGACUGAUGAUCAUUACAUGAAGCAUCUUUGAUCUGCUGUAGUUUCCAGCAAAACAAGGGAAAACAUGCGCUCGGCUCCAGCUCUGGCAGAAAAACACUCUACAUCGGAAAUGUACGGUAAUGUUAAGAGCAGACGGUGUUACUAAGAUAUGGCAAAGAUGAUGGAAUGUAAUCCCCGAAGAGGAAAGUACUGCAAUUUUCCACCUUUGAUUUCAGACACAUGGUAAGAACAUCACUAGACCUCCAACAACUCAACUUGGAACAAAUCAGACAUAGCUCAGAGCCUCACAUAAAGGGAAGCUGAAAUCUCAGUUGAAUGUCUAUGGAUCAAGAUGGGGUGUCUUUAUGUAACUUAUUUAUACUUGAAUUAUGUUGUUGUUGUUUAGUCGUUCAGUCGUGUCCGACUCUUCGUGACCCCAUGGACCAGAGCACGCCAGGCACUCCUGUCUUCCACUGCCUCCCGCAGUUUGGUCAAACUCAUGCUGGUAGCUUCGAGAACACUAUCCAACCAUCUGGUCCUCUGUCGUCCCCUUCUCCUUGUGCCCUCCAUCUUUCCCAGCAUCAGGGUCUUUUCCAGGGAGUCUUCUCUUCUCAGGAGGUGGCCAAAGUAUUGGAGCCUCAGCUUCACGAUCUGUCCUUCCAGUGAGCACUCAGGGCUGAUUUCCUUCAGAAUGGAGAGGUUUGAAAACUUGGUGAUUUGUGGGGAAAUGAAUCACUUGGCAUGAUUUGUAGACCCAGCAAAUUCCAUUUCAAAUGGGAUACCUAACAACCCUGCUGAAUACUCAGUUGCCACCAGGUUGCACAAGAGCCCUCUUUGCAUGUUACUCGUGUGAAAGGGCAACGCAGAUUCAACGGGGCUGUGCAUUCAGCCUCAACCCUGGAGAUGGUUUUACUCCUUGCAGCCCACACAGGUUGAUUUAGAGAGGAGUAGGUUUCCCAGAUGAUUAAGAACCCUAAACCCUAAAGCAUAUUGGAAAGUCUAUGUCAGACUUUCUCAAC
rnacentral:lncRNA from 1 species